UUCCCUGUGGCUCAGUUGGUAGAGCAUGGUGUUUGCAACGCCAGCAUGGUGUGUGCAACGCCAGGGUUGUGGGUUCGAUUCACAUGGGGGGAC
rfam:Salmo salar isolate Sally breed double haploid chromosome ssa25, whole genome shotgun sequence.